rnacentral:snRNA from 1 species
AUCGCUUCUCGCCUUUUGGCUCAGAUCAAGUGUAGUAUCUGUUCUUAUCAGUUUAAUAUCUGAUACGUCCCCCAUCGGGGGACUACAUAUUAAAUGGAUUUUUCGAACAGGGAGUCGGAAAUGGGGCUUGCUCCGUCCGCUCCACGCAUCGACCCGGUAUUGCAGUACCUCCGGGAACGGUGCAACACUU